rnacentral:rRNA from 1 species
CGGCGGACGGGUGAGUAACGCGUGGGUAACCUGCCUCAUACAGGGGGAUAACAGUUGGAAACGGCUGCUAAUACCGCAUAAGCGCACAGUACCGCAUGGUACGGUGUGAAAAACUCCGGUGGUAUGAGAUGGACCCGCGUCUGAUUAGGUAGUUGGUGGGGUAACGGCCUACCAAGCCGACGACCAGUAGCCGACCUGAGAGGGUGACCGGCCACAUUGGGACUGAGACACGGCCCAA